GAUUCAAAGGCUAGUGUUGCUUGUCACAGUUAUUUGGAUAGACAGAUAUUUUGCUGGAUGGACUCCUGACGUGCAUUUGUGUAUAAGUGCUGUGAGCUCUCACCGAGAGCUUCAGGCUCUGUGUGUAACAGUUUAGACACUGUGUUUAGAUCUCUUAAAAACUUGAUUUUUUGCUAUCACAAAACAUGUGUGGAAGAGACUUAAAAUUAGCAUUCUGGAGAAAAAAAAAAGAGACACUGGAUAGAAAAAUAAAUAUAAAAUAGUUAUUAUGGCAAAAAGAAAUUCAGAUAAAAGUAAUUUUAAUGUUUUUUGAAAAAGCUAUGCAAUAAAAAUUCCCACUAGUGCUCUAUGCCUCUUAUGCCUUGCUCUGCUUUUAAUGACAUAAAUUUCCCACAAGGAACAAAAAUAGGAAACUGAGGGAGAAAAUAAACAAUGAUCUACUUACUUUGAGGUUUGUGUGAUUGCUGUCACUAUGGUGUCAGAAAGUCUCCUAUAUAAAACACGCUUGUUUUGUAAUCACACAUUUUCUAGGGUACUUCAUAACUACUAAAAGGAAAUUUGAAAAGAAUUUUCAUCAAGAUUGGAGGCAAGAAUAUGUUUUAAUUUAGAAAUAAAUAAAGUGAUGUUCAUAUUUCUAAGCAAUUAAAAUUGAGUGUAGCAAGAGUUUACUGAUUUUUUUUUUCCUCUAAUUUUUUAAUCUUAAGGGUAUGGGAGAAGAACUGCUUUUGUCCUGACACCAUAAAGGUCAUGUUACUGUCAUCUUAUUUUGAGUGCUUUAUUACAGUCAUUUAGAUAUGUUAAAAAACUGUGCUUUAAAAAAUAUAUUUUCCUGGAGUAUAUGUGAUUUCUAAUAUUUUCUAGUGUAAUGAUUAUAAUGAUUAUCUAUACUCUUCUCAAAAUAUUUUGAGGGUGUUUUGUUUUGGGGUUUUUUUGGUGUGUUUUUUUGGUUUUUUGUUUGUUUGUUGUUUUUGUUUUUUGUUUGUUGGUUGGUUUUGUUUUGUUUGUUUGUUUGUUUGUUUAAUAAAAUUCAUAUCUUCUUCCAAUGUCGCCAUGAUUUUACUCUCAAAACUGCUCAUGCCAACACCUUGCAUGUCUGUGUAGGUAGUUGCAGUUGUAUGCUUUGCCUUUGAAAGAAAAGGCAGAUGAGAUCAGGUUUGUGUUUCGCAGCAUUUGGCUGUGUAUCUUGACAUAAACUGACACUGUACCAUUUUUAAUGCAGUACCUCAGACACAAAAUGGUUUGGUCUCCUUCUUUCCUCUCUAGAGCAGAAUUUGAUACCUGGCUUUCUCCCAAAACUGAGAGCAUUGUAAUGUGGGAACUCAACCUGCUAAACUUGGGAGGGAGUGGAUAAUUGUUGUUGUAGGUGUUCACAUACCAGAGCAUUUAUAUUUACUCCUGUUUGUUUCUAGCAACCCUCACCUCAGCAAAUUUGGCAAGUCUCUCCAUUUAGCCCACAUCUCUAUUGUUGAUAGACUAAUUGUGGAAUUCAGCAUUUGCACACAGAGCACUACUGUGGUGUCUCAGGAAUGUCUCCUUCAGUGAGAACAGAGAUCGUUGUUCUUUGCCUGGAAUGUAAUUAUCUGAAAAAAAUCCCAAUUGCUUGACUUCAUCUGGAAUCACUAUGGAGCUGUGAAGAAAGUGUAACAACACACAGAAGAAUGAAGAAGGUUGAAGGAAUCAAAACCCAACAGAUGUGCCUUCCCAGUAAUGUAGGAUCUUGCUGCUUUUGGCCAAAUAACACAAGUAUAAUGUCUUCAGUAGCAGUCAGAACAGAUUAGAGUAUUUCUUUACUUUUUUGCAUCACAGAUAUACAGAACUGCUUCAUCUUAUCUGAGAUUCAGACUGAAGUGACUGCCACCGUAAAAAGGAAAUUUCAACUCACCAAACAUCCAUAGCUUGCAAGACUGGCCUUUCCUAAACCCAGCUUGACUGUGCAGCUCAUCCAGAUGCCCAGGGCUCUGUGAUAACCCCUGUGAAGUCACAGCAUCUUUCAGGACGAAGAUAUGGAUGAUCACUAAGUACAAGAGUUCCCUUAAAUCAGCAGUGACUGUGGUUUGGCUCCUCUUAACAAUUAUGGAUCAUGAUGUCCUCGACUGCCUGUGUUCACAGCUAAAUUUUCAAAAGCUUCAUCUGUCUGUUUGGUGGAGUAAAGUUACUCAAAAAGUCUUUCAUCUUUUUGUCUUGGGUCAUUUGGACAAUAACUCCCAAGGGGCACGGAGGAGGGAAGUGCAUACCUGCUCUUCAUCUCUUUGCAGUGAUCAUUAGGUCAAAAUUUACUGCAAAUAGUAACAAAUAAAGCACUAUAUACUGCAUUUUAUGUAGACUACUGGAAGUAAGUUUGGAACCUGUAUCGAGCUUAUCAUGCCUCCGUGUCCUUGCACACCCAGUGAAGACCUUUCUUCAAAUCUCUCUGGGGGAAUUCCCUUUCUGCAGAGCACUUGAGGAGAUAUAAGCAACUAAGUGCCUAAAUUUUGGCUUAUAUUUCAUUAAAGGAAGAAUUAAGCUUAUGUCUUUAUGCCAUAUUAGGUGGAACUUGGUGCAGAGACCUGUAUUCUGGAUUUGGUUUUAGCGUUGCAUGUCAGCAGUUUAUCACUGUUCUUGUCAUAGCUGGGGCUAGUUGGGGACUGGAGCAAAGUCCUGCUUGUGAAGUACUUUUUAAAUAACAAGAAACUAUCUGAGCACAGUGCUUUAAAGUGUUUUUUUGAAGAACUGGAUAUGCAUAAUCAACACAAACAUGAUUUAUGAAUUUGAGAUAAAUCAGUUAUAUCCCUAGCAUAUCCCAGAGCCACAAGGUUUUGCUUUAAGAUAGAAACUGCAUUCAUUUUCUCUUUCUGAAAUUUACAUCAAAAUAACUAUCUUGAUGGACAUGAGGAGGAAUGACAGCCUCUUUACAAUGCUUUUAUUUAGAACAUAAAGCUAGGUGCUAAGCACUUAUCAUUGAUUUAUUCAUAUCUCAAUUAUGUCAGUUACUUCUAUUUGGAAAAUCAGCUACUAAAAGAUGCAUUCAAAAUUAGAAUUGUAGUUUAAUGGGUUUUAUCACAUCCUGGAAGUUUUAGUCUGCCUUUUUCUUACUGGUUACAUACUACUUGAUUUUAUUGCACAAAAUUUAAUUUAUUAAAAUGACUCUAAUUCUUCAUUAAUACCAAAGUAUGAGAAUAAGUCCCAAGUAAAUAAUUCUGAUAAAUUUUAGAUGGUCAGGUAGAGAUGUACCUCACCUAAGACAUCUGGGUCUAAUUCAUUCACCUGCAGAGACAGCCAAUGACUCUAUAAGAUGUCCCUGCCGGUCCAGCAAGUUUACCUGGGGGUUUCAGAUAAGACACAGGAGGCACAAGGCACUCAAACAUUUGUGGAGACUGUCAUACAGGAUUCAGCUUACAGAUCAAGGUGCUUAAAUAUUUAUGCCUACUUUACAGACUUUACAGUGUCAUUAGAGUCUAGACUUUCUUUAUAGGCAAUAGAAAUUUAUGAAAUUGAUACAGCUAUUGAAACCUACUUUAGUUAAUUUAAACAUCAGUUCACUAAAUUUGCAUUUACUGAAGAGUACUUCAAAUGGCUCUAUGGAUGCCACUGUAUCAACUAAACUCCACUGACUGAAUAUGAGUUUAGAUAUCAUUACCAAGAGAGGGUUUUGAGUUCUGAGAUUCUCUAGGGUACCCUCUCUGCCCUAUGGCUGCACCUGCAGAAGAUCAUGAGUCACUUGUAGGUCCUUCAUCAAAAUUCGUAACACAUGAAUGUCUCACAAACCUUUGGGCAUCUCAUCUUACACUUCAGAGGCUACAUUUACAAAAUGGAAACAAACACCAACUUUCCUGCAGUCUCAAAAACGGAAGUCACAGACAAGUGUGUGUCUGAACAUCCUUUCCUGAGGUUUUAAGGUGUUCCUCUGAGCCUGGGGUAAGGAAACAUAGCUGUUUAUCAGUGAAUGGGAAGUCAAAAUAAAUAGCAAUUUUUAAAAUAUACAGACACACACAUGCAAACUAGCAAACACACACAACUUCUGCCCUCAAGGAAAAAAAAGCCAGCUGUUAGGUAUUUACUAACCAUCAUCAUAGGAAAUCAUGGGUCCUAGAAUGCUUAGACACUUGGAUCCAUCAGCAAUAUUGUCACUGUAUAAAUUUUUAGCAUAUUGUUUUCUUUAGCAGAAUAAUAGUUACAAUAAUAAUGUCAAGUCAUGAUCAUAUAAUUGAAGCAUUCCUCUCCUUUCCUUGAAGCAUAGCAUAAAGAAGUUCAAGAUUUGCUGAAACCAAACUGACUCAUCUUACUAUGGUGUACAGGAUAAUCAUAUAUCAGAGGGACAAUUUAUGUCACUAUAUGAAGUAGUGAUGCUUUGGGAACAGGAAGCACAAAACCUCUGAAUUCAACAUUAUCUCACUUUUCUUCACUUUCUCCUAAAUCCUUUUUCUUAGCAAUGAGCUGUAUGCAAAAGUACAGAGCACCUCCGAAUCUUUCUCUUUCCUUACGUAUAACCAUGGCUUGAGGGCUUUAAGUGAAUAACUUUUUCUUUUAAAGAGGUGAUUCAUAGAGAGUUUUUCAGUAGAUGAGAGAAAUCCUUGCUUUCCAUUUGGCUGAUCAACAACUGGAGGAAGAAAUACAGAAGAGCUCAGAAAAUUUGUGAUGAAGGAUCCUGUUUGAUAAUUUAGCAAUAAGUCAGAUCAUUUUAUUGAGUUUGUCAACAAAAUUGAGAAUUAAUUGACCAGAAUAAAAUGUGUUAGUUCAGUAUUAGAAAGCAGACUACAUGCUGCUAAGUUGCCACACAUAGUCUACCAUUUAUACCAUUAAUUUACUGAUGUCAAGCUGGACAAGAUUGUAAGUUUUCCAGAAAAUGUGUAUCAUUUUGCUAUUAUUUUAUAUUUGUCCUUAUGCAAAACCUGUUCUGUCAUAAGAAAAAAAAUCCCUGUGUUUUCCCAGUACACUUGUAUGCAAAUGAUUUCUGCUGAAUGAAUGCUCAUCCUUAUUUUCUACAGUUUCACAUCAAUGCCUGUCAUCAUGCAAAUUUAUUCUCAAUGGGAUUACUCGGAACUGUGCUGGUACUUGUUCCUUCUUGUGUAUCCAAGCUUGUCCCUCCCUGGGCUUUGCCAGCUUAGCUCCCAGGGAAAGAGGGAGCUGGAGACAUUGCAACAGACCUUGGACAGGGGAAAAAGGUUCUAAACUCGGCCCUUGAAAAGUAAGGACUAUAAAGAAAGCAAGACAACCCGUGAGAGAUGGGAGCAACCUGCAGAGCAUAAGGUGAGGAUACUGAAAGAAGACUAAAGCUGAACUUCUAAGACAAUAAUGGGACAGCCAGGUUUUUUUCUAGCCCUUGCUCUUUCAUUACUUGUGAAUAAAAUAAAAGCAAGAUCUGACAUGUAAGAAAAAAUUACGAUAUGACUCAAGACCUUGGUAAUGCUGACUGAGCCAAAUUUUGAACUUCCAGGAAGCUCAGAAAAUUUCUGGAACAUUUUAUGAGGGAGUUCCCCUGAUUUUCAAAGACUCUUCUUCCUUGUCAUAAGCAACAUCAAAAGUGAAAAGUUAUGAAACUACUCUGGAAAAUGUCUCAAUACUUUCGAUCAGAGCAGAAGCAGGAAAUUAUUCCAGACAUUUCAUCAAAGAGGAACAGAUAACUAUCAAGGCUCACUAGAUCAUUUGAAGUCCAUCCAACACCACUUUAAAUUAAAGAUUUUAGUCUAUUAUUUCCUAAAGCCAAGCGGUGUCUGUAGAGAGGACAGGGAAUCAACUGCCUGAGGUCUAAUUUCAUCUCUUUGAAGUAAUGUUGAGAAAGCUUUUCUGCAGGAUAAAAGCAAUAUCUUCAUCACAGAAAUAUUGUUAUCUAGAGGUGAAUUCCUAGAGUUGAUGUUCA